GUGGGGAAUCUUGCGCAAUGGGCGAAAGCCUGACGCAGCCAUGCCGCGUGAAUGAUGAAGGUCUUAGGAUUGUAAAAUUCUUUCACCGGGGACGAUAAUGACGGUACCCGGAGAAGAAGCCCCGGCUAACUUCGUGCCAGCAGCCGCGGUAAUACGAAGGGGGCUAGCGUUGCUCGGAAUUACUGGGCGUAAAGGGCGCGUAGGCGGACAGUUUAGUCAGAGGUGAAAGCCCAGGGCUCAACCUUGGAAUUGCCUUUGAUACUGGCUGGCUUGAGUACGGGAGAGGUGAGUGGAACUCCGAGUGUAGAGGUGAAAUUCGUAGAUAUUCGGAAGAACACCAGUGGCGAAGGCGACUCACUGGCCCGUUACUGACGCUGAGGCGCGAAAGCGUGGGGAGCAAACAGGAUUAGAAACCCCGGUAGUCC
rnacentral:rRNA from 1 species